UGUUCCUUUAUAACUGGCUUAGCUAUGAUUGUUGGCUACUUGAGCGAUGAAGAUGCUUUGUACCAGCUCUUCCCUACAGACCUGCCCAAGCACAACCCUCAUCUUCAAGGCCCCCUCACUCCCUCCAAACUCUCACUAUUCCUCCGAAACUUCGUAAGGGUUUUACACUACGACUUCAACCUUUCUCUCGCUCUGCUGCUGGUAAUUCUUUGUUUACUUUUGGUUUGAGCUCAAAUUUCAUCUAAGAAAUAUAAUUGGUGUUGCCAGUCUUUUUUAAUUUCUCGGCGAUUGAAUGAAGCAGUAAUCUUUUUUUCUGAUUAGUUUAGUUCAUAUGCACUAAUUUUUUUACAUUUUCCUGGUUGUGUCAGUGCCCAAUUUGGAUGAAUUGAAGAAAUAUUUGUUUCUUCAACGUAUUACAUAUCUUUGCUCGUAUUUGGUAUUGAAAUGUCUAUACAUUCUGUUUAAUUUUCUGAAGAAAUAUGACUCCUGAUUCGUUUUUCUAGUGGAAGCCGUUUAUGCAUUUUGAUUUCUGACCAUGGUUGUGGCUAUCCAUGCAUGUAACAUUCUCUCUUGUUUACACUCAAUAUCCCCAUCAACCCAUGAUAAUGGAAAGUUAAGUUGCCAUGAGUUUUGGGGGAACUCAUUCUUACUUCAUGGAAAGUCAAACUUUUUCUCCUGUAAACUCAAUUUUGUACGAGCAUUAGCUGUUUUGAACAAUGUAGAAGAAAGAGAGGUGACGGAAAUAGAGAAUGAUAAACCAAGGUAUAGGUUAAUAGGUGGCUUGAGGUUGGCCCGAAUAUUACAGAAGCCCAAAAGCAGACUAUAUCUCAACUCCACCAAAUAUGACCAAGCGAUGCAAGGCAUUCAUGAAACAGAUAAUUUGUUAUGAUCCUUGAAAAGGCACUUUACCGGAUUUGUUAGCUGUGUGGGUGAGAUAUAUGAAGCCUAGAAGAGCUGAUUGGCUUGUGGUUCUUAAGGAAUUAAAUGGGUUGGAGCAUCCUUGUUAUUUUGAGGUAUUUCAUCUCUUUCCAAAUUCGAAUAUUUGCUGAUACUUCUUUCGCUUUAGUGCUGGCAUACUUUGAUUUCUUGCACUAGUGUUAUGAAUUUUAUGGACAAAGUUUGGGGAAUUGAGUUAAGACUGCCUGGAAGAAAAUGCUGAUCUGAUAUUUUUCUGUUGAAAUGAGAGCUCACCAUUCUGUAGUUACUUCUUUUAUAAUAGAACUUCAGAAAACUACCUUCAAUUUAAAUCACUGAUAUGUUCGGAUACUUCACUCCAUUGAUGAUUGGCUUUUUGUAGCUUACCAACAUUGCAUCUCAAACAUUGUAAGUCUUUUGUCCAAGCAUUUUCAUAAGAGUGUGAUUUCUCUACCCUAUGGUUGUAAAUUGUAAUGUAUAACAUGUCAACUGUUUUCGUCAUUUUCUUUUAAUUCCCUUUUUUCUUGUUGAGAUAUACUGAAAAUAGGCCAAGUUUUUGUUAGUCCUGCACAAUAUUAUGAGAGUUAAUAAACUAUUAUUUCCAGAAAAUAGCUGCAUAGGGAUAUUGAAGAUAUUCCUAAACUGGAUUGUAAAAGUGAAAACGCAGAAAGACUUGGUGAAACAAAUUAGUCCGACAGUAUUGAACCAGCAACUUCAUUUUCUUAAUUCAUUCCUGUGAGGAUAAGUUUUUUUCUGUAUCGAGGUUGCAGAGGCAGGGUUAUGCCACAUUCCUCUGGGGAUUUUGUAAAAUGAUCAAUAUUGGUGGUUUGUUUCUGAUAAAUUGGAAUUGAUGAAGGGUCGGAUAAGCAUUCGGUGGCUCUCCUUCUUCUUUUGUUCUCUGUGCUCACUCAAGCAUCUUCCAUCUUCUCAUUCAUUCCUCCUGAUAUUAAGCUGUGUGGGCUCCUUAUACAUGCCUAUCAAAUGGCGGGUCAAAGUCCAAAAUGCAUAUGCUGCAUUUCAAAAUAUGAGGAGGGCUGGCCUAGAACCUAGUGAUAAAUGUGUAGCUUUAGUAUUGCGUGCUUAUGAAAAGGAGAACAAGCUUGGCAUGGCCUUGGCCUUUCUAAUGGAUUUGGAGAAAAGUGGAAUUAUUGUAGGAAAAGAAGCUUCAGAAGUACUGGCUAGAUGGUUUGGCAGACUUGGACUGGUGAAGAAAGUAGAGUUUGUUUUGAGAGCAUAUGCUGCAGGGGAAAAUUUUGUUGAGUGCUUGCUUCCUAUGCACUAUUCUUGCUUUGUCUGGUUUCCUCACGGUAAUCACAAAACGUGAUGCAUCUGUUGUGAGCCAAGAAUUCAGGAGGUAGAUCUAUCCCUUUCCUGUUCUAGAGUAUUUGUGAUCCUUUGUGCUGGAAACUCCUGUGAGAAUGGUGCCAUGUCCAUUGGAGUUGGAUUGGUCACUAGCUGUUGAGUCUCACUUCCCAGAUUGAGAGGGGCUUCCAAUUACAGAUUAGUCUUGUUAUGAAGUUGUGAGCAAGCACUUGUAUGCUAGAUUGAGUUGAAUCCAGUUGGACUUUUCCAUCCGUGUGAAUAAAAUCAUCAUACAAUUGGCACUAA